rnacentral:rRNA from 1 species
AUUGAACGCUGGCGGCAGGCCUAACACAUGCAAGUCGAGCGAGUGGCGGACGGGUGAGUAAUGUCUGGGAAUCUGCCCGAUAGAGGGGGAUAACUACUGGAAACGGUGGCUAAUACCGCAUACCAUCGGAUGUGCCCCGAUGGGAUUAGCUAGUAGGUGGGGUAAAGGCUCACCUAGGCGACGAUCACUAGAUGGUCUGAGAGGAUGACCAGCCACACUGGAACUGAGACACGGCCCAGACUCCUACGGGAGGCAGCAGUGGGGAAUAUUGCACAAUGGGCGCAAGCCUGAUGCAGCCAUGCCGCGUGUAUGAAGAAGGCCUUAGGGUUGUAAAGUACUUUCAGCGGGGAGGCGUUACCCGCAGAAGAAGCACCGGCUAACUCCGUGCCAGCAGCCGCGGUAAUAC